rnacentral:rRNA from 1 species
GGGAAUAUUGCACAAUGGGGGAAACCCUGAUGCAGCGACGCCGCGUGAGUGAAGAAGCGCCUCGGCGCGUAAAGCCCUGUCAGCAGGAACGAUAAUGACGGUACCUGAAGAAGAAGCCCCGGCUAACUACGUGCCAGCAGCCGCGGUAAUACGUAGGGGGCAAGCGUUAUCCGGAUUUACUGGGUGUAAAGGGAGCGUAGACGGCGAUGCAAGUCUGAAGUGAAAGGCGGGGGCCCAACCCCCGGACUGCUUUGGAAACUGUAUGGCUGGAGUGCAGGAGAGGUAAGUGGAAUUCCUAGUGUAGCGGUGAAAUGCGUAGAUAUUAGGAGGAACACCAGUGGCGAAGGCGGCUUACUGGACUGUAACUGACGUUGAGGCUCGAAAGCGUGGGGAGCA